rnacentral:rRNA from 1 species
UACAGAGGAGCCAAGCGUUGUUCGGAUUCAUUGGGCGUAAAGGGUGCGUAGGCGGCGCGGUAAGUCGGGUGUGAAAUCUCGGAGCUUAACUCCGAAACUGCAUUCGAUACUGCCGUGCUUGAGGACUGGAGAGGAGACUGGAAUUUACGGUGUAGCGGUGAAAUGCGUAGAUAUCGUAAGGAAGACCAGUGGCGAAGGCGGGUCUCUGGACAGUUCCUGACGCUGAGGCACGAAGGCCAGGGGAGCAAACGGG